GAUGAACGCUGGCGGCGUGCCUAAUACAUGCAAGUCGAGCGAACAGACGAGGAGCUUGCUCCUUUGACGUUAGCGGCGGACGGGUGAGUAACACGUGGGUAACCUACCUAUAAGACUGGGAUAACUUCGGGAAACCGGAGCUAAUACCGGAUAAUAUUUCGAACCGCAUGGUUCGAUAGUGAAGGAUGGCUCUGCUAUCACUUAUAGAUGGACCUGCGCCGUAUUAGCUAGUUGGUAAGGUAACGGCUUACCAAGGCAACGAUACGUAGCCGACCUGAGAGGGUGAUCGGCCACACUGGAACUGAGACACGGUCCAGACUCCUACGGGAGGCAGCAGUAGGGAAUCUUCCGCAAUGGGCGAAAGCCUGACGGAGCAACGCCGCGUGAGUGAUGAAGGUCUUCGGAUCGUAAAACUCUGUUAUUAGGGAAGAACAAACGUGUAAGUAACUGUGCACGUCUUGACGGUACCUAAUCAGAAAGCCACGGCUAACUACGUG
rnacentral:rRNA from 1 species